CUGUCGAAAGAAGUUUCACAGAUCUUCGAAGAUUGGUUGAUAUGUGGUGAUGUUUGAAAACGCACGUUGCGAUUCAUCAAAACUCCCUUUUCCGAUAUAGUAUAAUCUCAAACGAGCGAUACUCUAGCCUGCUAAAUAGUGACUAGAUUUCUGUGUCUAGUCUACUUCUUAGAGGGAUAAGCGGUGUUUAGCCGCACGAGAUUGAGCGAUAACAGGUCUGUGAUGCCCUUAGAU
rnacentral:ncRNA from 1 species